rnacentral:rRNA from 1 species
ACGUAGGAGGCAAACGUUAUCCGGAUUUACUGGGCGUAAAGCGCGUGUAGGUGGUUCUGUAAGUAGGGCGUGAAAGCUCCUGGCUCAACUGGGAGAGGCCGUUCUAAACUGCAGGGCUAGAGGAAGGGAGAGGGAAGUGGAAUUCCGGGUGUAGCGGUGGAAUUCGCAGAUAUCAGGAGGAACACCGGUGGCGAAAGCGACCUCCUGGACCAAUACUGACACUGAGACGUGAAAGCGUGGUGAGCAAACAG